rnacentral:rRNA from 1 species
CCUACGGGCGGCAGCAGUGAGGAAUAUUGGUCAAUGGGCGCGAGCCUGAACCAGCCAAGUCGCGUGAGGGAAGACGGUCCUAUGGAUUGUAAACCUCUUUUGUCGGGGAGCAAAAGACGCCACGCGUGGCGUUCCGAGAGUACCCGAUGAAAAAGCAUCGGCUAACUCCGUGCCAGCAGCCGCGGUAAUACGGAGGAUGCGAGCGUUAUCCGGAUUUAUUGGGUUUAAAGGGUGCGCAGGCGGAAGAUUAAGUCAGCGGUAAAAUUGUGAGGCUAAACCUUUUCGAGCCGUUGAAACUGGUUGUCUUGAGUGAGCGAGAGGUAUGCGGAAUGCGUGGUGUAGCGGUGAAAUGCAUAGAUAUCACGCAGAACUCCGAUUGCGAAGGCAGUACACCGGCGCUCAACUGACGCUGAUGCACGAAAGUGUGGGUAUCGAACAGGAUUAGAUACCCUAGUAGUC